GGAGACUGCGCACGUCCGCGUGUGGGGCGGGGGAGGUGGCAGAAGCGGAGGAAAGAGGACGGAGGGGACGAGCUCCGGGAGGAAAAUGAGGCUGUGGCGUGUGGGAGCCCGGAGCGCAAAAUAGGCUGGUGCUGGAGCGAGAACAGGAAGGGGUGUGUGUGUGUGUGUGUGUGUGUGUGUGUGUGUGUGUGAUGUGUGUGUUUCCCUUUUUAGAUCUUUUCAUUCAGGAGGCGUCUCCGUGGAGACUGAGGAGGUGCUAGGAGUCCCCUGGGGUGCUGUCAGCGCCGCUUGCUGAGUUUCUGCGGAAGAGUGAAAUACGAGGGAGCUAGUGAGCGAAGAGGAGUGGAGAAAUUGCCAGCAGCCACACUGCCGUGGUCCCACAAGGCACAAACCCCACCCCCUUCUGUGCCGAUCCCACAAGGCUACAGGCUCAGCACGCCCCUUCUCCAUCACAGCCAAGAUUCCAGAAUGACCACUGGUAUGCUGCAGCCUCAUGUGGAGAUGCUGCGACACCUCUGGGAUUCCCAAAGAAAAGGACAGGAAGGUGUGCAGUACUAAAGUCCCACCCUGACCUCACUCUGAAUAUUCACUCGGGCCACUGGCCCUUUCCCUAUGUGGGACAACCUCGACUUUUAUGCCGCUCUUUUUCCAGGAGAGACGUGUGUGUACUCGUGUCUGAGUGUGUCCUAACUUUUAAAUAAACUCUGCUUUUCUGUA